rnacentral:rRNA from 1 species
GACGAACGCUGGCGGCGUGCUUAACACAUGCAAGUCGAACGGAAAGGCCCCUUUGGGGGUACUCGAGUGGCGAACGGGUGAGUAACACGUGAGUAACCUGCCCUUGACUUCGGGAUAACUUCAUGAAACUGGGGCUAAUACCGGAUAGGAAUCCUUGCUGCAUGGUGGGGGUUGGAAAGCUUCGGCGGUUUUGGAUGGACUCGCGGCUUAUCAGCUUGUUGGUGGGGUAGUGGCUUACCAAGGCUUUGACGGGUAGCCGGCCUGAGAGGGCGACCGGCCACAUUGGGACUGAGGUACGGCCCAGACUCCUACGGGGGGCAGCAGUGGGGAAUAUUGCACAAUGGGCGGAAGCCUGAUGCAGCAACGCCGCGUGCGGGAUGACGGCCUUCGGGUUGUAAACCGCUUUCAGCAGGGGCGAAGCUUGUGGUGACGGUACCUGCAGAAGAAGCACCGGCUAACUACGUG